rnacentral:rRNA from 1 species
CCUACGGGUGGCAGCAGUAGGGAAUAUUGCUCAAUGUGGGAAACCCUGCAGCAGCAACGCCGCGUGGAGGAUGAAGGUUUUCGGAUUGUAAACUCCUUUUGUUAGAGAAGAUAAUGACUGUAUCUAACGAAUAAGCACCUGCUAACUCCUUGCCAGCAGCCGCGGUAAUACGAAGGGUGCAAGCGUUACUCGGAAUCACUGGGCGUAAAGAGCUCGUAGGCGGGAUAACAAGUCCGAUGUGAAAUCCUAUUGCUUAAACAUAGAACUGCAUUUGAAAAUGUUAUUCUAGAGUAUGGGAGAGGUAGGUGGAAUUCUUGGUGUAGGGGUAAAAUCCGUAGAGAUCAAGAGGAAUACUCAUUGCGAAGGCGACCUGCUAGAACAUAACUGACGCUGAUGCGCGAAAGCGUGGGGAGCAAACAGGAUUAGAUACCCCUGUAGUC